UACGGAGGGUGCAAGCGUUAUCCGUAAUUAUUGGGUUUAAAGGGUCCGUAGGCGGGCGAAUAAGUCAGUGGUGAAAUCCUGCAGCUUAACUGUAGAACUGCCAUUGAUACUGUUUGUCUUGAAUUCGAUUGAAGUGGGCGGAAUAUGACAUGUAGCGGUGAAAUGCAUAGAUAUGUCAUAGAACACCAAUUGCGAAGGCAGCUCACUAAGUCUGGAUUGACGCUGAGGGACGAAAGCGUGGGGAUCAAACAGG
rnacentral:rRNA from 1 species